UCGCUGGUUUCUUUCCGUCUCUCUCGAUCGUCUCUCGUUCUCCUUCUAAAGCAAUUGUGCGGGGUCUGGAUAUGGAUUAAAAUGAGCUGAAAUUGUUUUCAAAAAUGGAUAUCCUAAAGGCUGAGAUAAUGAAAAAACGUAAACAAUUAGAAGAAAGCAAUGUCCUGCAGAACAAUAGGAAGUAUUUUAAAAGGAGCGACUUGGUACUGAAAGAUGCAGAAGUGAAGGAGGUGCAAAGCAACAAUGACGAGGAUAUUAAGGUGAAUACAGCACAACAACAAGAAGAAUGUCUAACGGACGGUAGUUCUGAAUACUUAACUUUACCUAGGCAUGAGGUAAUUCGAAGGUUACGCGAGAGGGGUGAACCGAUAAUGAUAUUUGGAGAGUCAGAAAUUGAAGCAUUCAAGAGGUUAAGAAAAUGUGAAAUUCUAGAACCUGAAGUGAACAAAGGUUUCCGGAAUGACUUCCAAGAAGCUAUGGAUCAAGUAGAUCAGGCAUAUUUAAAUGAAAUAUUAGCUUCCUCAAAACCACAAGAUCGCAAUGGAAAAGGUGAUGUGAAUGUACCAGAUGAGGGAGUUACAUACGAAGAUUUGCAAAAGAUGUCUGUUAAAUUAAACAAGGGCGACAGAGAUUUCGACUUAAAUGUCAUUACACAGUUCAUACAAUUCUUAGUACAGAUGUGGGGUAUUCAAUUAAACAGUAGGAGUACCGCAGAAAAGAUGAGUACUAGAGGAAAAAUGGCUAGCGCCACUUAUGCCCAAACUAGAGAAUAUCUGAAACCGCUUCUUAGAAAAUUAAAAAAUAGAUCUUUGCCAGAGGAUAUCACUGAUAGUUUAACAGACAUAGUGAAGCAUUUACUUGAACGCAAUUAUAUAUUGGCAAGUGAUGCAUACUUACAAAUGGCUAUAGGAAACUCUCCAUGGCCUAUCGGAGUAACUAUGGUUGGUAUUCACGCACGUACUGGAAGAGAAAAAAUUUUCUCUAAGAAUGUGGCACACGUAAUGAAUGACGAAACCCAAAGAAAAUAUAUUCAAGCAUUAAAAAGGUUGAUGACUAAAUGCCAAGAAUAUUAUCCAACGGAUCCGUCACGUUGUGUAGAAUAUUCAAAGGGAUAAAGUACAUGGAUGAAUAUGCAUACACUGUAAAGUACAUAACAUUAAUAAUAUGUAAUUGUAACAUUCAGUUUAUUUCUAUCACUGUUACACUUGCAUCAUAAUUUAAGUAAUUUAAAAAACUAUUCUUAAUAAAGAAAAUAUGUCUACUUAAAAAUGCUUGCAAAAUGCAUUGUAAAUAAAAUAAUUUAAAUGAUAUACUGCUUCAAUUUUCUAUAUUUUCUUCUCUGUUAUAGAAGAUAAUUCAUUUGAUUUCUUCACUGCAGCUUCAACUGCAUUCAUCAUAGAUGCUCUAUAAAUAUAUUUACAAGAUAUUACACACACGAUUUCAAUAAAUAAUAGAUUCUUAUUCUCAUUUCUAUAUGUACUUGCCUAACUCGCCCACAUU